rnacentral:RNase_P_RNA from 1 species
ACGGGGGAGGAGGCGAUCGCGGGUUGGCUUUUUGGCCGAUUCGAGGAAAGUCCGGACUCCGCAGAGCAGGACGCUGGGUAACGCCCAGGAGGGGAAACCCUACGGAAAGUGCAACAGAAAAGAUACCGCUCGCGCUAUGCGAGUAAGGGUGAAAUGGUGGGGUAAGAGCCCACCGCGGUCCCGGGUGACCGGGCCGGCACGGUAAACCCCGUCCGGAGCAAUGCCAAGUAGGAGAGAAUGGCGCGGUUGCAAAAUCCGCCGUGGCGUGGCUCGCGCCGUUUGACUCUCGGGUAGGCAGCGCGAGGCUGCCGGUAACGGCAGUCCCAGAGGAAUGAUCGCCCGCGACAGAAUCCGGCUUAUACCUCCCCCGGGUUU